AAGCCACACGGAUCCUCUUGUCUUGGUCUCCUGACAUUUGGAUUAAAGUCAUUUCCUGAAUCUAUGACAAGACUUGAGAGACCACCAAAGCCCAAGAGGUCUUGUUUCACAAGAGAAUCUUCAGGUGUUUUAGGCCUUUAUGACACAUCCCAAGCCCUUCAGAGAGCCACAAGAAUGGCCCAGAGGAAAUUCUAAACCACUAUGACUCAUGGGUCACCUGGAGGUGCAGGCCAUCGCUAUGUUAAACCUAUGAGGUGAUGAUAAACCACACAA
rnacentral:lncRNA from 1 species